AAAAAAAAAAAAAAAAAACUCAAUAGUUCCUUCUGUUAGUUAUGUGUGCCCUAGAACAUGCAUUAAUCUUGUAACUUGUAAAAAACAUUGUAAAUAUUAUAAUGGCAAUGAACGUUUCAUUUAAAUGUUAUAUGUAUUUAGUACCAUAUUUAUUUGAAAUUGUCCAUUAGCAAUAUGUUAUGUGUUCUAUUCUUAUGAGAUAAGAAUAUGAGUGCCAGAAUACAUGGGACAUUUGUUAUAAAUCAGAGUUCGCAGCUAAAGGAUAUUUUGGUGGGCACAUUAUAUUCAAAGAGCUGUCACCUCUUUUUUUAUCUCCAUUGAUCAUUAUGAGAUACUGAUGAAUAUGGAAUGGUGAGCCUCAUGCCAUCUGAUAUGAGAUAUCGGGAU
rnacentral:misc_RNA from 1 species